rnacentral:lncRNA from 10 species
CUGAAGGAUGGGCCAUUCUAGGGGGCCCAGAAGGAAGACUCAUGAAAGAUGCCCUUGUCGGCGGAAAUUUCAGGAGCUUGGCCCACAGCCCCUGUCUGCACUUCGGCUGUGAAGAGGCCAGAACCACGCCCGCUGCCCAAGAGCUAGGCUCUGAUGAGGCUGCAGGUAGCAUCGACCCGGUACCUGCUUCCACCAGGGCCCAGGCUGAGCCCUCAUGGCACAAGGGUGCCCAUAGGCGUGUGGUGGAUGGGUGGACAUCUCGGCUAACGCUCCCGUCACCUGUACCUGUCUCCCCAUCAGUAGGGCAGGGGCAGCUCUCACUUCUCACGGCUAUGGCCACUCGAUGUGUUCAGCAAUCUAAGUGGGUCGUCGCCUCAUUUUGUACAUGAAAAACCAGCCCAAGUUACUGCCCAAGGUCACACGGCCAUUCCCUCUGUCCCUUCCUCCCUGACUCAUGCCAUGCUUGUGUGAGGGGCUGCUGCGUGCCUGGCUGGGACCUAGUGGAAUAAGAGAGAAAGCCCUUGCUCCCGUGGAGCAGGCGAGAGGCGACACGGAUACAGGCUGAGAGUGAGUGACCCAUGGAGGAAACAACAGGGAGACGGGCAGGGGGCGGUGGGGUGGGGGCCAGGGAAGGGCUCUUUCCAGAGGGGGCAUCUGUGCUAAGACCUGAGGGACAAGAAGGAACUAGCCCCGCAAACAACACAAUCGGGUGCUUUUCCCUUUGAUGUCUGAGCAGCCUGGAGUCGCUCCAGACAGGCCCGGCUGCCCCCACU